rnacentral:rRNA from 1 species
AACGAACGCUGGCGGCAGGCCUAACACAUGCAAGUCGAGCGAAGCCUUCGGGCUUAGCGGCGGACGGGUGAGUAACGCGUGGGAACGUGCCCUUUGGUACGGAAUAGCCCCGGGAAACUGGGAGUAAUACCGUAUGUGGUCGAGAGACGAAAGAUUUAUCGCCAAAGGAUCGGCCCGCGUUGGAUUAGGUAGUUGGUGGGGUAAUGGCCUACCAAGCCGACGAUCCAUAGCUGGUUUGAGAGGAUGAUCAGCCACACUGGGACUGAGACACGGCCCAGGCUCCUACGGGAGGGAGCAGUGGGGAAUCUUAGACAAGGGGGGAAACCCUGAUCUAGCCAUGCAGCGUGAUCGAUGAAGGCCUUAGGGUUGUAAAGAUCUUUCAGUGGGGAAGAUAAUGACUGUACCCACAGAAGAAGCCCCGGCUAACUCCGUGCCAGCCGCCGCCGUAAUAC